UACAGAGGGUGCGAGCGUUAAUCGGAAUUACUGGGCGUAAAGGGUGCGUAGGCGGUUAUUUAAGUUAGAUGUGAAAUCCCCGGGCUUAACCUGGGAAUUGCAUUUGAUACUGGAUGGCUAGAGUAGAGUAGAGGGAAGUGGAAUUUCCGGUGUAGCGGUGAAAUGCGUAGAUAUCGGAAAGAACAUCAGUGGCGAAGGCGGCUUCCUGGACUCAUACUGACGCUGAGGCACGAAAGCGUGGGGAGCAAACAGG
rnacentral:rRNA from 1 species